rnacentral:rRNA from 1 species
UACGUAGGGGGCAAGCGUUGUCCGGAAUUAUUGGGCGUAAAGCGCGCGCAGGCGGUUCUUUAAGUCUGGUGUCUAAGUGCGGGGCUCAACCCCCGUGAUGCACUGGAAACUGGGGAACUUGAGUGCAGAAGAGGAGAGCGGAAUUCCACGUGUAGCGGUGAAAUGCGUAGAGAUGUGGAGGAACACCAGUGGCGAAGGCGGCUCUCUGGACUGUAACUGACGCUAGG